rnacentral:rRNA from 1 species
CCUACGGGAGGCAGCAGUGGGGAAUAUUGCGCAAUGGGGGAAACCCUGACGCAGCGACGCCGCGUGCGGGAUGAAGGCCUUCCGGGUUGUAAACCGCUUUUGAUUGGGAGCAAGCCUUUUGGGUGAGUGUACCUUUCGAAUAAGCGCCGGCUAACUACGUGCCAGCACCGCGGUAAUA